AUACGUAGGGGGCAAGCGUUAUCCGGAAUUAUUGGGCGUAAAGAGUGCGUAGGUGGUCUUGUAAGCGUGGGGUGAAAGGCAGUGGCUUAACCAUUGUAAGCCUUGCGAACUGUAAGACUUGAGUGCAGGAGAGGAAAGCGGAAUUCCUAGUGUAGCGGUGAAAUGCGUAGAUAUUAGGAGGAACACCAGUGGCGAAGGCGGCUUUCUGGACUGUAACUGACACUGAGGCACGAAAGCGUGGGGAGC
rnacentral:rRNA from 1 species